rnacentral:rRNA from 1 species
UACGGGGGGGGCAAGCGUUGUUCGGAAUUACUGGGCGUAAAGGGCGUGUAGGCGGCCAACUAAGUCCGACGUGAAAUCCCCAGGCUUAACCUGGAAACUGCGUCGGAUACUGGAUGGCUUGAAUCCGGGAGAGGGAUGCAGAAUUCCAGGUGUAGCGGUGAAAUGCGUAGAUAUCUGGAGGAAUACCGGUGGCGAAGGCGGCAUCCUGGACCGGCAUUGACGCUGAAGCGCGAAAGCUAGGGGAGCAAACGGG